CGGCGGACGGGUGAGAUAAUACUUAGGAAUCUGCCUAUUAAUGGGGGACAACAUCUCGAAAGGGAUGCUAAUACCGCAUACGCCCUACGGGGGAAAGCAGGGGAUCACUUGUGACCUUGCGUUAAUAGAUGAGCCUAAGUCGGAUUAGCUAGUUGGUGGGGUAAAGGCCUACCAAGGCGACGAUCUGUAGCGGGUCUGAGAGGAUGAUCCGCCACACUGGGACUGAGACACGGCCCAGACUCCUACGGGAGGCAGCAGUGGGGAAUAUUGGACAAUGGGGGGAACCCUGAUCCAGCCAUGCCGCGUGUGUGAAGAAGGCCUUAUGGUUGUAAAGCACUUUAAGCGAGGAGGAGGCUCUUUUGGUUAAUACCCAAGAUGAGUGGACGUUACUCGCAGAAUAAGCACCGGCUAACUCUGUGCCAGCAGCCGCGGUAAUACAGAGGGUGCGAGCGUUAAUCGGAUUUACUGGGCGUAAAGCGUGCGUAGGCGGCUUUUUAAGUCGGAUGUGAAAUCCCCGAGCUUAACUUGGGAAUUGCAUUCGAUACUGGGAAGCUAGAGUAUGGGAGAGGAUGGUAGAAUUCCAGGUGUAGCGGUGAAAUGCGUAGAGAUCUGGAGGAAUACCGAUGGCGAAGGCAGCCAUCUGGCCUAAUACUGACGCUGAGGU
rnacentral:rRNA from 1 species